GGGAUGAAAGGAGGACAGGAGGAGCAUUAAAGAUCUGAGCUAGCCGACGGUGCCCUUAUUGAACCAGGUUAAGAGCUUCACUCAGGAAGUCAGGAAGAGAUUUGCCUUUAAUUGCAGACAGCUCUCAAGCAGUGGGAAUGUCUCCAACCUGCAUCCCCAGGUGCUGGGGUCAGGGGUCAGCCCUUUGUCAUGGGGCACCGCCGCCGGGGCCAAUGGAAUCCCGCCGUUGCCAUGGGCUUCUUCGACGACAGCACAGGACAGAGAGAGCCUGGCAGCGAAAUGAACUGCAUUUUAACUUCAAGGGGAGCUCUGUGGGGCCCCUGGGGGUCGUGCACCUCUGACCCCCACUGACCUGCGGAAGGUAUGCGAGUCUGGAAACAGAAUAAAGAUGUGUUGAGGGAGAGCUGAUCCCCUGCAAAACUGCAAAACUGCAAAACUGCUCAAAACUACCUCCCCAA